CCAGAGAACUUAGCAGAGAUGCUUUGGUGCCUUCGGGAACUCUGAGACAGGUGCUGCAUGGCUGUCGUCAGCUCGUGUUGUGAAAUGUUGGGUUAAGUCCCGCAACGAGCGCAACCCUUAUCCUUUGUUGCCAGCGGCUCGGCCGGGAACUCAAAGGAGACUGCCGGUGAUAAACCGGAGGAAGGUGGGGAUGACGUCAAGUCAUCAUGGCCCUUACGGCCAGGGCUACACACGUGCUACAAUGGCGCAUACAAAGAGAAGCGACCUCGCGAGAGCAAGCGGACCUCACAAAGUGCGUCGUAGUCCGGAUUGGAGUCUGCGACUCGACUCCAUGAAGUCGGAAUCGCUAGUAAUCGUAGAUCAGAAUGCUACGGUGAAUACGUUCCCGGGCCUUGUACACACCGCCCGUCACACCAUGGGAGUGGGUUGCAAAAGAAGUAGGUAGCUUAACCUUCGGGAGGGCGCUUACCACUUUGUGAUUCAUGACUGGGGUGAAGUCGUAACAAGGUAAGCGUAGCGAG
rnacentral:rRNA from 1 species